GUGAAUCAUCGAAUUUUUGAACGCAAAUUGCACUCUCCUCGGAGAGUAUGCCUGUUUGAGGGUCAGCCUAUAUAAAAUUGACAUCGUUGCUGUUUCGCGGUGGUGUGCGUCGGAAAUCGUGUUAUCUUAAAUCCUUUUGGGGUUUAAGCGACUUAAAUUUUUCUUUUUGGUUCUAGUAACGUUUCGA
rnacentral:misc_RNA from 1 species